ACGGGGUAUUGCCUCAGUACGGCGAGUGAGCGGCAAGAGCUCAACUUUGGAAUCGCUCCGGCGAGUUGUAGUCUGGAGGUGGCCACCACGAGGUGUUCUAGCAGCAGGCAAGUCCUUUGGAACAAGGCGCCAGCGAGGGUGACAGCCCCGUACCUGCUUUUGCUAGUGCUUCCUGUGGCCCACCGACGAGUCGAGUUGUUUGGGAAUGCAGCUCUAAGUGGGUGGUAAAUUCCAUCUAAGGCUAAAUAUUGGCGAGAGACCGAUAGCGAACAAGUACAGUGAUGGAAAGAUGAAAAGCACUUUGAAAAGAGAGUGAAACAGUACGUGAAAUUGUUGAAAGGGAAGGGCUUGCACCCAGACACGGUUUCGGCCGGGCCAGCAUCAAGUAUAACGGGGUUAAAAGACUUGGGGAAUGUAGCUACUUCGGUAGUGUUAUAGCCCUUGGUGAUGACCCCUGUUUUGCUUGAGGACAGCGGUCUCUAGGAUGCUGGCGCAAUGGUUGCAAGCCACCCGUCUUGAAACACGGACC
rnacentral:rRNA from 1 species